rnacentral:lncRNA from 1 species
UCCCUGAUUCUCCUUCCCUUCUCACCUAUAACAUCCAAUGAAACAAAUUUAACAAAAAGCCCCAAGCUUUUUAUUCUAAAGGAAGUUUAGAUUUUAUAGAGAGUUGUUGCUCAGUGGAGACAUGGCCAGACCAAUCUGGCCCAUACCGUGGCUUCAAACAGAGGAUCACAAUCUGGUCCAUACCGUGGUUAAAAACCAAUCAGAUCAUUUUUCUUCUACAAAUUAACUGAACCAAAAAGAUCACAUGCCUACGGUUUUAGGACCACAUCCUUUGGAGAUAAGCUUCAACCUUUCAGCUUCUGUCACGGAUGGUCGACUCACAUCCAGCAAUAAUCAUAAAAGAAAAAUUUUGAAAUCAUCAUCUCUCAUAGUUUAUAAGAAUCUCAGUGAAAGAUUCAAACACAUAAUUGAAUGAUUCAAACACAUAAUCAAAGGAUUCAAACACAAAAACAAAACAAUAAAGCUUUAC